AGGUCGUAACAAGGUCUCCGUUGGUGAACCAGCGGAGGGAUCAUUACC
rnacentral:rRNA from 1 species